CUGCUAAGGAUGUGGCUGUUUCUCCCUGUCUGGUGGGGAGAGGCCAAGCACAUUAAUGCCAAUGCCCACAGCCUGUGGGUGCUUCCUGUCUUUUGUAAAUUGCAUUACUCACGAUUCUCUUUCCCUCGAUUUAUUAGAGGAAAGUCUCAGAAGGGUAAGGCCAACUGCUCCAGCUAUUUGCAGCUGUAAAUGACCCUCACAGGGACACAGCACUGUCCCACUCCCAGCCCAGUGGCCUGCAGCUAGCUGGAGCUGGUUACACUCUCACCUGGCUAGGUUGGGGGAAAGUGGGAGUUUUGCAGACCCACACUGCCACCCUGUCCAGCAGCCCCGGUCAUCUUUAAGAAACGCACCUCUUCUCUGAAACUCAAACAAUAAAACUUUCUGAAGACCUUUCAGCUUGCUUUGGCGACAAUGAACUCUCUUCUCUCCUGCAGGCGUGCCGGUAGCUUGGCCAGGGAGAAUGGACCGGCAACCUCUUUCUGCCCACUCCUCUGAUCCCCCUCUGCCUCCCUUAGACAAUCUGUCCUUCCCUGGAGAGGGCCGGUGUGCAGGGUUAAAGGUUCUCUGGUUAAAAUAGCCCAACAGAAGGAGCCGGGUCCGGAGCUGAAAUCUAAGUGCUAAUGACCGCUGCCCUUCACCCCGCUGCUCUCCGAGGCUGGACCCGAGGCCCAGUGAGGGACGAGACUGGACGGGGCACAAUGUUGCGCAUUUAACAUUUGAACUUCUCCCACCCGAGGCAGCAGGCCGUUUUGUCCUGGGGUCGCUGACCCCGGCUCCCCAUCAGCUGCCCUGAAACCUUAAUUGAAUGACAGAUGGUCAUUUUCAGGAGAGCCAGAAGCUGCGGGCGGCGGGCGGCAUGGCCAGGCUCGGCCAGGCGGUCCCCACUGGAGUGGGGUCGGGGCACGGGGUCGGGGCUGCGCGCUCCCGGGGGAGCGGAGUCCUGGUCCCCUAGCUGCCUCGGGGUCCAGAGCUCCAGGCAGCCUGGAGGUGGCCCCGCCUGCCCUAGAAGGAGGCGCAGGGGCCCCCAUCGCUCCUUUUCUGGGCCGGAGUCCAGCCUCCCCGGCCCUAGGCCCGGAUGCCAGCCCCGGGGCCCGGUGCGCUUGGCACGCCCGGCCUGCGGCCGCUGCUGCGCGGGGCCUGCGGCCCAGAGGCGCGGCCUUCUAAUGCACAGGGCCUGACAUCGACUUCCGCGCACGGAUCGAACCUUCGAUCGCGCCGAUUUGCAUAGCGGGCCCGCGCCCCGCCGCGCCCGACUCCACGCCGAGACCGCGCAGGCGAGGCCGGGCGCUCCCGGGCUCUGCCUUCCUCCCUCGGUGCCCGGGGGACCGGGCUGCUCACGGCCGCAGACGUGUGCGCGGGCGAGCGCGGAACGCGGCGGGAGACGAUCUCCGCCGGCACCGCGAAAGGAGCCGAGGGCGCCCAGGGCCCCGCCGCGGACCGCGCGGAGGACAGGUACCACCUGCGCGGCGCCGCGGCCCGCUCCCCGCGGGCAGGGGUGGGCACCGCAGGGCGAGGACCCGGGCUGCGAACCGCGCUCCCGCUCCCGGCUCCUGCGCGAAACGGAGCACACUGACCCCGCUUCCCUCCCUCCUGGAGGCGCAUCCUGGACGCGACGCGCCCUCGGGGUAAGGGGCCUCCCGGGCUUGGGCGGCGGGGAGGGGCUCGCGGGGCUGAGGGUUCCGGGCUCGCGGGGCUGAGGGUUCCUCCCCCGCGCUACUCCCCGCUUCCGCCCCGCCCCGCGAGCCCCGACCGGUCCGUGAGCUCCGGGCCGCGCGGUGCGCGUGGGGCGUCCCGCUGGGCCUGGCGCGCGCCCGCGCCUCCGGCCCACCGAGCAGCCCGGGAUUGCCCCAGACGAGCUCGGCAGCGCUUCCCGUCCGGGACACGGCGUCUGAACCUGGCGCCUCUCCACAUCCAGCCCGACCCCAGGAAAGCCGAGCCCUCCCGGCCUGACCUUGCGCAACUGAAGGCCAACCCUGCGCGUCCCGCCGUCCCUCUGAACGGGGCGUUCCGGCGGCGGUGGCAGAAUUUCGGGUUUGCUUUGUUUCUCUAGUGAAGAGAACGCACUCUCCUACCCUCAAAGAGGCGUCCAGGCGUACUUCCCUGAGUGUUCGUGGCUGAUACUGGUUCCGAACCUGUCUGGCCCUGAGCCUUUUCGUUUCUCCUGUUUUAUGCAGAUCACUCGAGGUGUUUUUCUCAUUUGAAAAAUCUUGGUAUUUUUAAAAAUACGGUAUUUCUCUGAUCGUUUCAUAUCUUAACCACCAGAUAAGUAAGAAAAUUAGGAAUUCGAUAGUUGGAAAGCAGACUGGGGAGGAAAAUUAAAUCCAACACCGACUGGAAAUAUGCUGGACAGAUGAAACGACAGUGACAGAAGACAGGAGAGUAAUUUACCUGAAAAAAAGAAAGAGAUUAGGCUCUGAAUUUUCCAGAUUGUAAUGACAAUACGAAAUAAAUCCAAAGAAAUUGCUUCCCUGACACUCUAUGUACAACCAAAGCAGAAGCCCUGGUGCGUGGAUGGCGAUGGCGUGGUCAAGUGGAUAUUUGAGGCCUUUCAAGUGACAAUUCAGCUUGGGGACAUUUGCAUAGUCUUUCAGCAAAGUACAGCCGAUUAGGUGGCCUUUGGUCCUGGCGGAAAACAAUUUAUAAUUUAUAUCCACCUGUGGGGGGUAGCACUCUACUGAAAUCAAGAGUGGUUUCUAGGGAGUUAACCUCGGCAGAAGUCUCUCCAGUGAGCAGGACAAGGUAGAGAGGCCUGCUGCUCCAGAGGGGCGGCCACACGCGACCUUUCCUCUGGCUGUGUUCUGGAGAGGAAGGCUCUGAACUUAGCUUUGGGUUUGUUGCCUCUCUUGCUCUCUUAAAACAGUAACUCAAGAUGUAAGUAAAAGUGUUUUCAUUUCUUAUUGAUCCCACUAACAUCUUUCAUUAUCCAACUUGUAGCCACAGCAAAUUAUUGCUCAUUUGAUACCAAGAAUUCUAUUGACCACGGCUUUCGUUGGAGAGCGAAUUCUAACUACUGGCUGCUCUGUUGUCAGCUAGAGCUGAGGCUGGGAACCUUCCACAAGGCUGUGACGGCACACAGAGUCCUCUGCUCCAGGAAGUGCAGAGGUGCGUUCCUUACGGGGGCCCACUGGACUCGUGUAGAAAUCUGCUUUUUGUUCUGCGGGCCAGCAAAAGGUCAGCCUCUUUGGAAUGAAACUGCCCACUCAUUUGCCUCUCAGAACCUUUCUAGCAACUUCUUUUCAGCUCUGGCCAUGGUAGGCAAUGAAAUGAUGCAAACAGAUUGCUCCUCGAUCCUUUGGUCACCACUGCCCCAACACAGACACUUGGAGAAAUCAUUCACACCUCCCCGCCUCAAAAAAAAAAGUCUAAAUGAGAGGCUUUACUGUCUGGCUAUGAUUUCCUAAAUUUCACUGCCCUAUCCCACUCCACCCCUUCCAGACCCAUGCUGUCGCAGCGGGGCAGAGCAGGGAGUGGGUGCCAUGAGGUCCACUGUCCCUCAUGCAGUGGCCACUCAGUAUCCAGAGAAGGCUGACCUCUGACCCCAGGCCAGCUGCUGUCGGGCUGGAGCUGUCCUGGCUACAGAGAGGACCUGAAGGGUUUGUUCCCGGGAAGCUGCUGGCAGCAGAUUCAGCCCUCUUGCACUGGGAGGAGCCAGUGCCGCCAAACCUAGGCCGACCUCUGCCUUGCACCAGGUGGCCUCUAUUCCAGCGGGUGGGCAUCAUGGGGGACAGAAGACCUGACCCACCCAGCCAGGGUGUGUGAGCCCCCCCCCCCAGGCAAAGGGAGCCGAAGCCGAGCCCUUCUGCAGCCUUCUUCCAGAACAUUGGGUCCCAUCUGCGGCCCCUGAAGCCCUGGACCCAGAGACAUGGACACCCUUAGCAGAACCUUGUCCCUGGCGCCUCCGAGGAGGAUACAGCACCUUGAGGUUGGGUGCAGAUGGAGAGAAAGGCCAAGGGCCGGUUUCCAAAGAGCACUGGGCAAGUGCGGCCCCAACAGCAUCAGCUCCCAAAAUCCGAAUCCCUUCAGGGGCUCCAGCAGACUGGCUUGGGGUGAUCGUCCCAGGUGCUGUUUCCCCCACUACUGGCCUCGCUGGGCAGUUAGGCAGAGCCUUGUUCCCAGAUGGGUUCGCUUGGAGGUCCUUCAGCUUCUGGACGGUGGGGAGUAUGGACGGGGUCGCAUUGUAGGGCUGUAUUUGCCUCGGCUUUUCCUUUUUGUUUCUAACAUAGAUAACGCUGGUGUGUGUUGUCUGCCUGCACCCAAAGCGAUGGUGUUCCUGGAAUGCAAGCACCGCCCGCCAUGCUUGGAGCAUCCUGCCGCAGAGAGAACACUUUCUCCUGGUCUCAGCCCAGACUGACAGCCUGGGGGCCUCGUAGGACACUCGGCCAGAUGACACACACACAAGGGCACCCAGAACCUGUGUCGUGGGCUCCCGGGCAGCUGUGGAUCCAGGAGGCAGGCUGAGCAAGCCAGCAACACUCGCUGCCACUUGUCCAGAAAGCAAGAAAGCGGCAAUAUCCUCAGUGUUAUUUAAGGGAAAAAGACUGGGACCUGCACUGGAGUUUAAAAGUUAGGGGCGGGCUGCUCCCCAGCAUUUCUUUGGAAGGAGGCAGAACUGAGAGCUAUGCAGCUGGCUUGGCGCUUCAGCCCAUAGGAGAGGAGGAAAUUCUCCUCCUCCUCGCUGCACCUUGGAGCAGGUCCUCUGGCAGAGCUCUCGGCUCCCCAGCACCCCGUCAGCCUCCUGCCUCUCCUGCCAGGCCAAUGGAACCAGCAGAACUCGAUAGUAAAUUAUUUUGUUCAGCCCUCUGUCUUUUUAUGAAAAUAAAAGCCAACACUUUGUCAUUUUUAAUCACGUAAGCAGAC
rnacentral:lncRNA from 1 species